rnacentral:lncRNA from 1 species
CUGACUUUGGCCUGGGCAAGCGAGGGAACGCCAGGAGACUUGCUGGCGGGAGCAGGCUAGCUUGAUACAUGAUAGUCCUGAACGACAACUGGGGAAGACGGACGGACGGGCUUGCUGUAAUUCGCAGACAAGGGAGCUCGGGCAGGAGAUCCACUCCAGCUUCUAGGAACAGCCAGGAAAAGCCGAAGGGCGCCAGGCCCCGCCGGUCAGGUUGCCUGAGGUACACUUUGUGAUUGUUGCUGGUCCAGAGUGGUCUCGCUGUGCAAUCAGACAAGCAGUAGUGGCAGAGGGGAAGCAGAGACUGUAUGAGCCCAUCUUACUCCUGGCUGCAGCUUCUUGGUGAGAAAGACUCCGGUUGCAGAGACCUUAACAGCAGCCCUACCUUGUUACCACAGGCUAAUGUGUUUGGUCACUCCUAAGCCUUUUUUCCUAGAGGGUAUUUGAAAACACUAGGUUUGCAGGCAUGCUAAGUCUGUAUUUAUUGGCCUUAACAUUUCAGUGCUUGGGUUAAGACCUAGUAUGCAACGCUAUUGGGGGAAAGAGAAUAUAGAUUUGAGAGCUGUCCCUCCUUGUACCUAUCCUCUGGGGGCUUGGAGCAUCCAGGAGUUCAUAGCCUCCUAUGGGACUGGCAAAAGAAAGACUCAAAAAAGUGAUUUCAUUUAGGCUAUACAUCAGUUUACAUAUAGGAAAUUUCUAAAAGAGACCAUAGGUCUGGUUGAAAAUGUUCCAGGGUCUACAAACUGAACAAAGCUGAAAAUCCACCUAUCUUGCCAUCUGAAGGAAUCUACCCUGCCUGAAAGCAUGUUUUGUGGUUACAGUGAAGAUGGACUGAAUGACCUGGAUUUGCUCAAGUGCAGGUCUGCCGCCUAGAGGGACAUAGACAGAUGGAAGAAACGGGCCAACAGGAUCCUUAUGAAACUCAAGAAGUUCAAAGACUGAGUCCUGGCCCAGGAGGGAUGAGUCCAUGGCAGCGAUAGAGGCCAGGGCUGGGUGGCUGGGGAGCAGCUCCGUGGGAAAGCCCUGCGUGCCGUGUGCUAGCAGCCAUGAGCUGAGCAGGGCCUGGCAGCAGGGACAGCCAGCACACCCCAGGCUGCAGAAGCCAGGCCAGAAACUGAGGGAAUGAUGAACCUCUCCAGCCCUUGCUCAUGAGACCAGGCCCAGACACUGCAUCCAGCUCUGGGCCCCUAGUACAAGAAAGACCUGGACAAACCAGAGUGAGCACAGGGAGAGCCU